UCAGAUUGAACGCNGGCGGUAUGCUUAACACAUGCAAGUCGAACGGAAACGAAACUAGCUUGCUAGUAGGCGUCGAGUGGCGGACGGGUGAGUAACGCGUAGGAAUCUGCCUGAUAGUGGGGGAUAGCCCGAAGAAAUUCGGAUUAAUACCGCAUAAUCUAUUCGUAGUAAAGUGGGGGACUUUCGAGCCUCACGCUAUCAGAUGAGCCUGCGUAAGAUUAGCUUGUUGGUAGGGUAAAAGCCUACCAAGGCAACGAUCUUUAGCUGGUCUGAGAGGAUGAUCAGCCACAUCGGGACUGAGACACGGCCCGAACUCCUACGGGAGGCAGCAGUGGGGAAUAUUGGACAAUGGGGGCAACCCUGAUCCAGCAAUACCGCGUGUGUGAAGAAGGCCUGAGGGUUGUAAAGCACUUUCAAUUAUGAAGAAAAGUUAACGGUUAAUAACCGUUGACCUUGACGUUAAUUUUAGAAGAAGCACCGGCUAACUCCGUGCCAGCAGCCGCGGUAAUACGGAGGGUGCAAGCGUUAAUCGGAAUUACUGGGCGUAAAGCGUGCGUAGGCGGUUUAUUAAGUCAGAUGUGAAAGCCCCGGGCUUAACCUGGGAACUGCAUUUGAAACUGGUCAACUAGAGUAUGGCAGAGGAAAGUGGAAUUUCUGGUGUAGCGGUGAAAUGCGUAGAUAUCAGAAGGAACAUCAAUGGCGAAGGCAGCUUUCUGGACCAAUACUGACGCUGAGGUACGAAAGCGUGGGUAGCAAACAGGAUUAGAUACCCUGGUAGUCCACGCCGUAAACGAUGAUAACUAGCCGUUGGGGGGAUUUACCCCUUAGUGGCGAAGCUAACGCGUUAAGUUAUCCGCCUGGGGAGUACGGCCGCNAGGCUAA
rnacentral:rRNA from 1 species